rnacentral:lncRNA from 1 species
GAGCAGAUGGGCGGCGUGACGUUCGGCGGCUGCCUAGGUCUCGGGCGGCGCCGUGGUUGGUGAUGGUUCCAUGACGGUGCAGGCUCAACGGCGUGAGCUCUCCGGGUUCUUGGAUACCGGGAAACGCAGCGGGGAUGCAACGACUACGAACUCUUCCUGCCCCGGCGACGGCGGUGCUGCUCCAUCUCGCCGGGUACGUCGAUGUCACGGUGAGGUCUCCAAACUUUGCUUCAUUGUCAGGAUUUGUGCCCCUGUAAUUCUCCUCCCGUCCUGUCCAAAUCUAGGAUUCUAUUUUCCCUAUCCAUAUAGGAACUUAGACAUAGUAUCAUGGGCAUGACUUACCGGCUACGGCUGCUGCCUUGGUUCUAAAUUGUGGCGCGUGUAUUUAACUAUUUAUUUGUGCCACAAUGAUGUUUUGCUACAAUUACUGAUAUAUUGACUCAUUGGUAUUGCUAGCUUAUUGCACAUUUAUUUUUCUACUAGAAGCGUUCCACGCGCUUCGCUGCAGCAUCUUGUGAAAGAUGCAGUGCUUCCAAGAUUUAUAUCAAAGAGAGGCACAAAGAUGCAGUGCUUCCAAGCUGAUAUGCAAUGCUUUAUAGUAUGCCUUAUACGGUAAGAGUAUUUCCCCAUUCUCUAAUCCACACCUUAACUCAUUGGUUGUGAAUUUAUAGCAGCAACAGUUGAUGGACUUAGAAAAGUAUGCUCCUGAACCUGCAAACAACAAUUAACAUAGACACUUAGGAGCAUCCUAACUGCCUCACAUGAGCAGCAAAUAGAUUACAUAGGCAGUUAUCCUACAUAUCAAUUUUGUACACGAUUAUUGAGAAGAGUAUGAUUUCUCAAAUGGGUUUGAUCCUCUCCAAAGGAAGCUUCACGGUACAAAUUUUUUUUUUAGGUGUGAAAGAGCAGAUUUAGCCAAAUCGCUCCUGGGGCUUUCUACCCCAGGGAGCUUAAUGAUUAAGGUGAUAUAGUAUACAUUUACAUUGCAUUGCCAAUUUUUUUUUACAAUGAAUACCCAGCACCAAAUUCCUGGCCACUGAACAUACAGGGUAACUUGUAUUACUUCUAUAGUUCAGUCCACUUCGAUUCUUACUAUUUAUUCAAGUUUCUGUUAUUUACAAACAAUGCUUCAACCAUUGUUGUUUGUGUUCGCGUUAUGACCUGUUGUGGCCUAAGGUGAGCUCGAGCCUGAACCCAUUAGUUUCGAUUCUACUACUUUUCUCGUAUAAGAUUUCAUGGUCAAGUUAAUUUUCAUUGCUCCAAACCUAGCAUUUGCAGUUGCUUGUUUCAGAAAUACAGGUUUUGCGUCAGAUUUCGGCCGUCAAGGUAAAUCGUUCCAGCUGUUGCGUAUUAUGGGCUUACUAUCUGUGCAGUCGUCUCAUAGAGUUACCACGACCCUAAUUUUUUAUGGAAUUUUCCUCCAUUCACCUUUUAUAUUUCCUUCAGAAACUCGAUCAGUUUUUUGGGAGGUCAGGUCCACUUAUAAGCAUUUGUGUAUUACAGGUUGAUAUUCUAAAGAUGCUUGUAAGGUGCCUUAUCUAUAUUAUUUUACUGAUGCUGACUAAUCAAAGACUGCCUACACAACUUGUCUUGUAUAAAUAAAAGAAAAAGUUGGCUCACUGACGCAUCAACUUCCUGAUGUAAGUGUUUUCUCAUAUACUCUUUCUAUUCCAGAAUGUAAGGUGUAUUGGUUUCCGUGCAAGUCAGCCAUUUAAGUGUUUGACAAAGAUUAUAGAAUAAAAUAAGUAUAUCUUCAAUACCUAGUAGAUACAAUUUGAAACUACUUUUCAUGAUGGAUCAAAUGAUAUAAAUUUCAUAUUGUGAAUUUUGAUAUAUUUUCAUAAAAAGUCAGUCAAACUUGUGCUCAUUUGACCUUUCAAAAAACAAUACAUCUUAUAUGAAGGAACGGAGGGAGUAUUUGUUUUCAUCUUCUCCAUGAUAUGUUCACUCGUUCUCUUCAGAGAUUUGUUCAAGGGAUUCCUUUCAAAGGAUUGCACUUUUUUUUGAUGAUUUUUUCAAACAAUGACACCUUUGUGAUAAAUUUCUCAUGUGAUAUAGGUUGUGUACGACUGUAAAUUACAUUGGUAUGUGCAGUGUCUCCCCUUUAAUCCAUUGGUUUACUUAUUUAACUCUGUUUUUUGUGUAUCCCUUGCUUCUGAUGCUUUUCUUAAUCGGCUCUCCUCUUUGUUUAUGUGUGAUUUGAGUAUGUUCAUAGUUAACAUCCACCAAAAAAUUAGUAGAUGUCAGAGAUAAUGUGGGGGUGAAAACACAUUGGCUAGCGAGUGCCAUCUUUAUCUAUAACGAAACAGUUGUCGAAUGGUUGAACUUUCCUGCAUGAUAUUUCUUUAGUACGCCACCUCUCAAUCUUAUGAAAACAAGAGUUGAUGUGAUUGUACAUUGAUCACAUUCCAUUUCUAUAUCAUUGGCUCCUUGCACAUCGUUAGUAUAAAUUAAAAUUCCCAAGAACCCAUUUUGGUUCGGAUAGCGAUUCAGAAUCUUUUUCUUGGUUGUCCGAUAACAAUGCUACUAUGAAUCAUAUUCAUAUCCUUGUUCCAAUGUUUGCAAUUUCUGCUAGAGCAUCUGUGAGUUGAACUAACAAGGAUGCAGCCACAUUUGCAGGCAUAUACAGUGCAGGAGGAUGCAGAUAUGGGCACAACAAUGGAGCUAAUACUUCUACGAACAUGGUCAAUCCC